UGUACACUUAACCUUAGAGGAUGUCAGUCCAAUCAAGUCAUGCCGUGUCUUCAAUGGCACCUGUGUCUCAGACGCCUGUACGAUGGCCAAGACCCUUGUCGGUGUGUCGUCAUGACAGAGUCUUUCAAGGAGAGAAUUGAUUUUAUGGAACCCACAGCAGAAGCAGGGAAAUUGGGAGACUUGUUGUCCAGACUUGUGCUGUGCCAAAGGGUACUUAACAACAAGGCCUGGCUCACAUGUGGGAUGCUACAACAGGAAAAUGAGUGUCCUUUGCCGAUGCAGUGGUGCACAAGGCAGCUGGGGCUGAGCAGCGUGGCCAGAG